AUGCUUCCCCUGCCUCACUGUAGGCCCAAAUGGAUCCAGCAGGGAGGCAGCCUGCCAUGGGCCCCUGCUCAGGGGACCCCCACCUGGGCGGGGCCUCCUGGCUCCUGGGACUCACCAGCCUCCUCCUCAGCGUCUGCAGCACUGGCACCCAGGGUUCUGCAGCCCAUGGUUCUGGAGUUGAGGAUUCUGGAAACCCCGUUUCCCUGAAGGGGAUGCAAGGAGCUUCUGUGUUGUUUCAAGUGCUCAGAAACCCAGACUUGCCUGCAGGAGUCGAGCUGGAGAAGAUGACCUGGGGGAUCUCCUCCGGGGCAAACUACACAACCCUGCUGCAGGUCUCCCCUGGGGCACGCGAUCCAGAAUGGGUCAACUUCCAGGACAAGUUCCAGAAGAGGGUCCGUGUGCUCAACAUUACGACCCUGAGGAUGAACAACCUGACCCUGGAGGACACUGGGCUGUACCGGGCUCGGGGCUCAAACACCAGAGGAAUAUAGUAUGACCGGGAUUUCCACCUGACUGUGUAUGAGCCCCUGCCCCUUCCCCAGAUCUGGGCCAAGGAUCGGUUCAUCACCCCAGGCUGGUGCAAUGUCACCGUGAAGUGUGACACCAUGGGAACCAGGGAGGACCUGACCCUGUCCUGGGAGAGGAAGAGACUCCCCAGGGAACUGGAACAACGAGUGGCCCCAGGACCAGCUCCCAACCCUUGGACCCUGGCUCUGAGCCUGCCUCUCAGCCAGCCCAGGACCAGCCUCACCUGUGUGCUCAGCAACCAAGAGGACCAGAAAACUGUCACCUUGGACCUUGGGGACAUCUGUGGCCACGCAGAUCCACAGGGACAGGCUGAUGCCUCCCAACUACCCAGCAUCCUGGGGACUGUUGUGGUCCUGCUGCUGAUCCUGGGAGCUGGACUGUUCCUCUGGAGGACACGAGUGAAGAAGAGCCUGGAGCCUGGGAGAGGCAGGUUGCACUUCUCCUCCCUGUGCCCACACACCUCCCUCCCCUGGACCCUGGGCUCCCUUCCUCCUGCCUUUACUGCUCAGGGGAUGUCCCUGCAGGAGGCUGGUGGGGGCGGCCAUGGCCUUGGGGUCAUGGAGGGGAGGGUACAGGUUUCCAGGGCUCAGACUUCAGCUCCCUCUGUGUAUGACCCAGGUGCAGGGUCGCAGGAGGAGCAUAGGGAUCCCGAUAGUGGCAUCUACUAUGCAGAGCUGAGCCAGCAGGGGUCUGGAGACAGCAGGGACAAGGGUAGAGGUGUAGCACAUCUGGAAGGGAACAAGCCUCUCACUACUGUCUACAGUGAGGUCCGCAGGGCAGGCGUGGCCCUGAUGAGGAUUUAAUUGGAAGAAGCCGGAGAAUCCCGCCCUCCGGGGACAGCUGUCUUGGGAGCAUGAUGCCUGCAGCUCCGGUCCCACCUCUUCCUCCUCUGACUCCUCUGGUGAGGGACUGGCUGGUCCAAGCAUCAGUUAGUGUCUAUGCUAAGUGGUUCUGCACACGUUUGCGAUUAGACUUCUGUAGGUCUUUCAAGAGGGGAAACUGAGUAAAUAAAUUGACAGAAACAUGUGUCAUGAGUGCUCAGGCCCAGCCACCUGGCACCCCUUGAGAAACUCUCCUCCUCACCCUUUAUACAUCAAACUGCCUUUCAGACCCUCACCCCUGGGACCAACCUUUGUGACUCACAACAUCCCACCUCCAGCUGAGUCUCGAACUCAGUCCACACUCAGUUAUGUGCGGAGAGCUAUUCAGAGACGCCAUGAAUCCGUAAUGGUCAGCCCUUCUCUGGGGACGUGCCGUCUGCGCAUUCCUCUCCGUGGUUCAUCCCCCUGACCUGUUGCCCCUUCCCUGCAGCCCUCACCCCGUCUCUCUGCCCCCUGCCCAACACUUGAGCCCACCGUGGGCCUCACCUCACAGGGACCCCUAGAGCACCAGCAGGUGACCCGAAUGUGACCCUGGUGACAAUGUUUCCUGCUCCCACUCCUGGGCCAAUAGGGUCCCUGCUGGCCACUCCCUGGACCCCUCACCCCCUGCCGACUUCCCAGACUCCUCUGGGGCCCCUCUAGCGCCCCUCCUCCCUCACCUGCUAUGCUCUUGAGGGUUUAGGCAGGGCCUCUUCCUAUCUCCGGUGCCCUUCUCUCUCUGGUGCCCCUGUCCUGGGGCUCCUGGCCUGUUCCAGCGGUGAUGCCCAGACCUCCGUCCCCCUGCCCCACGCCCUUUGCUCAGCCCACACCCCGUCCCCACCCCCCCACAAGGGGGUCCUGCCCAGCCCCCGACCUGCACUUUGUACCUACUCCCUCUGCCCUGUGGGGCUUCCCCCUGUAGAGAAAUGCCCUCCGCCCCCCCGCCCCGUGGUGUCUUCCUCCAGCUCAGAACCAGUGAUCCAGCGCUCCCAGCUGGAUCCAGCACCUUGUGUGCAAGGACUUUAUUCUAUUGUCACAAUCGUCAGAGUGAGGACAGAAAUACAGAAGCCCAGAAGUGCACGUGGAACAUGAACACCAGGAGCCUGGAUCCCACAAGGACUGUGGCCCCACCUUCCCUCUAGUGGCUGUUCUCAGUUUUCCUGAGAGCUGGAACUCAUCCCUGUUCAGAGUAAAGAGUCUCUUCUGUAGUCUGUGUGUCCUUGCUUCAUAAAUUACUUUAUAUGAGAGAGACAGACAAACAGACCCACAGGUACACCUGUCACCUGCCUGCUGGGGGAGCUCCUGCCUGCGCCUUCACUACCUUGUUGGUCUCUGGGAAUUCCCUCAGUCCCACCUUGUCCUGCCCCCCGGCCACCUGCCUCUUCUUUGAUCAUGCAGUUCCCUGCUCAGCACCCAACAUCGCUGUGGGGAUCCUACUGUCUCCUGCAUCAGGGGGUUUUGUCUGGAGGAUGAAAUCCUGCCUUGGUGGCACCUGGGCUCAUGCAGGUUCUGGUCUCUGCAAUCUUUCAACCCUCAGGCCCAAAAUCCUAAGUGCCCAAAAGAUGAAAUGAAAAAUCAGGAAAUAACCACAAAUUCAAAGUAAGUGAAACAAAAAUUUUUGCUUCACUUUAUACAAAUACAUUGAAAAUGUAGAUGAAAUGGUUAAUUUUCAAGAAAGUAUGAUGUAGUGAUAGGAGAAAGGAGAAAGCCUCAGGGCAGGUACGGUGCCUGCUGGGUGAACAAGCGCUGCCGCGUUUCCCCGUCGCCCGCAGACCCCCACCACACCUCAGUUGACCCUGGAGGGAGUUCUUCCCCCACACUGAGCCCCUUUUUCGGGUCCCCAGCUGGGCAUCCUAGGAUCUGAGGCAGUCCUGACACUGUCUACCUGCAGCUCAGGUCAGACCCCAUGGGGGAAGGUUCAGGCCACCGCACCUGCGCCUCCACUUGGACGCCAGGCAGCUCUGGUCUGUGCCUCUGAGCACCUGGCUGUGCCUCGCAGGUUCCCAUGAGCGGCCUGUCAGGCUGCUGAUUUCCUGGGGCAGCUCACCCGGCAAUGGGGACCCCGAGUCCUUCCUAGCUUACGGGUCGGUUAUACAGGGUAUAAGUCACGAGCAGCCGGGGGCAGAGGGGCCGGGGACAAGGCAUGUGAGGAGGGGUGCGGAGCUGCUAUCCCUCUAGGUGAGCCCUCCCCAACACCUGUGGGUGCUCCCACUCCGAAGCCCUCCUAACCCUGUCCUUCUGGGGUUUUAGAGUCCUCAUUACAUGAACACCCUGAUAAACCCAUGACCACUGGGGAUGGGGGAUCUCACGCUCCAGGCCUCCUCCCUCCCAGGUCGUCAGUGAGUGGGUCCCUGGGUUCGCACCUGGUAACACAGUUGAUCCCCUGGCAGCCACCCCCGUCCUUGGCAGGUUCCCUAAAGUCUGUCACACAUGUUCAGGUGUGGUCGGAGGGGCUUGUCAUGAACCAUAGAGCACCCAUUGCACCCUCACUGCUCUGGCCUGAUUGUGGGAACUGGGACCAAUCCUAAAUACAACAAGAGACCUCCCUUGGGCUCUUCUAUAGAAAUUACUAGAUUCCAGGAGCUGAGUGCCAGUGAUCGUGCAUGAAGGCAAAUAUCUAUAGCUUACUAUGAAUUACAAGAGAGCAUUAUUUUAGAGAUUGAUGUCUUUGUGUAGCCUACUCUUUACUUUUUAUUAUAAUUUUAAUUGUAUGAAUUUUUCCCCAUGGCUUCCUUGACUCUGCACUCAGCAAAUGAUCCCUUGGCCGCCCCCUCUCUGUCCCUUCCUGGACCCCAUCCUCUGCUGGUUAGCACCAGGUCCUCAGUUCCCUCCUUCCGACACUCCCUCCCUAGGUGAUCUGAGUGAAUCCCAGGGCUCUAGGGAUCCUGGCUGUGCUGAGGCUGCAUCUCCAGUCCUGAGGUGACCCCCACAUACCUCCACCUCAUGUACUUCUGCUCUUCAAAGCAAGAGUCACCCCGUAGAACACUGGGUUCCUGUUCUCUGUCUCCUCACCCCAACCUGCUCCUUCCCAGGCUUUACUUGUAUUUACAGCUCAGUCCACUCUCAGCAUCCUCCCAGCUGCCUCAGCAAAACACCUGGACGUCACCUUGGAUUCAUCUUUUCCUCCAUCCUGGGUCUGAACCUCCAGCAAGCCCUGGUUCCCCUGUCCACCCUUCUGUCUGGGCACCAACCCUCUCACACUCUACCUGUUCCAGGCCUUACUCCCUGAGCUCCCUCAUCCCUCUCCUGUCCUCUAAUUCAUCCUCCAUACAGUGUCUGCCCUGAAGUGAUCAUUAAAGUGGGAAUCACAUGAACUCACUGUCCUGAAAACCCCCCAGUGUUUCCUGUUAGGGUAGAUUACUCCCAGCUUCCUACCCAACCUGUAGAGCCUUCUUGCCUCCAUCCUCUUAUCUUCACAACUCACCUUGGCUCAUUCUGAUCUCACCUCGGUUCUUCAUCUGUACCCAUGACGACCAAGAUCAUUGCUACAUUGGGACCUUAGCACACUUAGACCUCUGUGGGAGCAGGCACCUGGUCUCGACUGUGUCCUCAGUCACCACUGUGUCCCCAGCACCCUCAGCUUUGCCUAGCGCAACCGGCAUUGUUUGCAUGAGGUGGGCUGAGGACCCAACAGAGCACAGAUCUGUACCAGACAAGGAGUAUUCAGGAAAGAGACGAUGGUCCCAUGUCACCCAGCACGAGAAGGUCUGCUUAGUGACCUAAGCAGGAACAGUGUCACAGGAUUUGUGGGCCUGAGGCCCUGCUGCCACAUGCUGAAGAAAGGGUGGUAGCAGACAU
rnacentral:lncRNA from 1 species